UACACUUUUAGUUCACUGUGACACACACAUUGUGACCACACCAUGAGAAUAUUGUGAGCUCAUAGUGACAUCAUUGUGAGAUCAAAUUGUUGACUGGGUAUGGAUUACUUUGGCGAUGUUUUUUUGCGAUGAACUUUUUGAAACGUGAACAUCUUUGAUGAAUCUUUUCAUCGGAGGGACAUAAAUCUCUCAGAUUUCAUUAAAAUAUCUCCGCUUUUCUUUCGAAGAUGAACGAAAGUCUUCGAUGGUUUGGAACAUCUUAAGGGAAGCGCAUUAAUAUAGAACGUGAUUAAACUGACCUGGAACUACCUGCAGUUCAACACCUGCCAGCCAAUCAGAAUCCAGUAUUCAGACAGACCAUGGCAUAAAGCGGUAUGUUCUUAUUGUUACCAGCUUCUGCGUCUGGCUUCAGAACCUCACUGUGACUUCAGGUAAGAUUUGUAUUUAAUUAACGUUAUUUGUCUGUACCAGUCAUGUUUUUGACACAUGCAUUGGCAGAAAAAAAUUAAAUAAAAUUAGUUAACAUUAACAUUCUUUUAUUUGCAACAUGAAGUAUAUUUAUUUCUGAUUUCCUGAACAAUUUGGCUUCAUUGUAAUGAGGUUAAUGAUCUUUGAAAAACCAUGAUUAUGAACAUACAGUUACUUUGUCUUGAGCUGAUCAGCAAACUGUGGUAGUGUUGGUUGAUUGGUGUCUAUAUUUGUUCAAGCUUGACAACCUUAUGACUUUAUUUUCUAAUAUAUAUUUCUCAUUAGAACAAAGAUUAAAUUGUAAGAAGGGCUGCUUAUAAAAGCAUACAGUACAUCUGAAACUGCUGAGACUGGUAAGGUUUUUGACUAUAUUUCCGACCAGGUACAUCAUUCUGUCAUUCUUAAAUAGAAAACAAAUCAUCAAUCAUCAUUUGCCUUUUUUGUGUGUGUGCGUGUAAGAAAUAUUAACAUUUGUUGUUUUUCAGAUCAGCUGCUAUAGAAGACAAACUGAAAUCUGAGUGCAGAGACAAGCAAAGGAAUACUGCAAGACACUACUGACUAGGCUGUGCCCAGGUCUCCGGAACCUGCGACGACGCUCAGCUCCAUUGGCCCUUAGUCUGCGGCUUCGGAUCCACCAGCUCUGUCUCCAUCAGUCGGCCCCCAGAUGUCGGCAGCCACACCAUCUACAUCUUGGCUCCUCCCUCCCUCGACUCCGCUGUGUGUUGUCAGCUCUGGGAUGUUCUGGGUCUGUGCCAUGUGCCAAACACAUCUAAGCCGCCAGGGCAUCAUCGUCAUCCUCUCAUCACCAUCACUACACCACCUCCUCGUCCACCUCCGAAACCCCUCCAUCCCUCCCUAUUCUGUUGCUUGAACUUUAUCAUCUUCAGUCUUUGCGCACACAUCUAUUCACUUUACAUGUUUUUUUUUCUUCAGAAAAUUGCAUUGUAAUUUUUAUUCAUUGAUGUAAAAUUCUUUACUUUUCAGUAAUACAGGUAUAACUGAAAUGUUCUACAAAUGGAUAAGAUAGCUCUUCCACAGCAUUUCAGUCUUUUUUUCAUUUAUGUUUCUUGUAUAAUGUUUUAAAAUGUACUUGAGUAUGUUUGUAGUAAUACAAAAAUACUAUAAACAUACUUGUAUUUCAAGUGCAUUUUUUAAUACAUUUAAUAUUAUGGUUUUUUUU